rnacentral:lncRNA from 1 species
AUUUUUUAGAAGUAGCACUUGUCUGGUAUAAUCUGUUUUCAGUGCUGAUAAUUACUGAUGAUCACUACUAUUUAAAAAAGAAAAGGCACCAACGUAAGAUUUUGAUAAUGGUUUAGAGAAUAAAAUUUCACCAUUCAUUUUGGCAUAGUUCAGCUCUUUAUAUAGAUUUUUACAAACAUUUUUAAAUAAAUUGAUAUUCUAUAUAACAAAUUUUUAAACUUUUAGAACUUUGAAAUCUGUCAAUACAUAUACAAUUUAAAGAGAAAAUUAUGAAUUACAUUCAUAUGCAAUUCUCAGGUUAAAAAAUAAAAUUUUAUGAGUACCUUAGAAACCUCCCUAUGCUUUCCUCGUCACACCCCUGAAUCUAGAGAUAAUCAUUGUUCUUGUAAUGAAAAUAAUUUCCUUAUUUUUCUAUGUAUUUUUUAGCUGUUAUGUGUACUAGUUCUCACACCUUUUGUUAAAAAAAUUUCCAAACCAUGACAAACUCUUGCAGAGACAAGUUAGGUAUUAGCAAUGUCAGAUUGUUCAGUGUUUCUUAAUGCUUACUUCUGUACAUACUUAACUUUUCAUCAGCCUAUAAUAGUUCACUAAUCAGUGUCUAGACUGCACUUUUGAGUAUGCUGAUCGAUAUCUGCAUUCCUUUAAAAUGUUACAUUCUAAUUAAUAAGUAAAAUGUUACACAUUUUGUGACUCUCUCAACAUUGAGAGUCAUCCAUUG